rnacentral:rRNA from 1 species
UGCCUAGGAAUCUGCCUGGUAGUGGGGGACAACGUUUCGAAAGGAACGCUAAUACCGCAUACGUCCUACGGGANAAAGCAGGGGACCUUCGGGCCUUGCGCUAUCAGAUGANCCUAGGUCGGAUUAGCUAGUAGGUGAGGUAAUGGCUCACCUAGGCGACGAUCCGUAACUGGUCUGAGAGGAUGAUCAGUCACACUGGANCUGAGACACGGUCCAGACUCCUACGGGAGGCAGCAGUGGGGAAUAUUGGACAAUGGGCGAAAGCCUGAUCCAGCCAUGCCGCGUGUG